rnacentral:rRNA from 1 species
UACAGAGGUCUCAAGCGUUGUUCGGAUUCAUUGGGCGUAAAGGGUGCGUAGGCGGCCUGUUAAGUCGGAUGUGAAAGCCCCGGGCUCAACCCGGGAAGUGCAUUCGAAACUGGCGGGCUUGAAUAUGGAAGAGGGUCGCGGAAUUCCCGGUGUAGAGGUGAAAUUCGUAGAUAUCGGGAGGAACACCAGUGGCGAAGGCGGCGACCUGGGCCAAUAUUGACGCUGAGGUGCGAAAGCGUGGGGAGCAAACAGG